UGAUAUCUGUUUGUGUAGUCACCUUUUCAUCAAGAUUAAGCUUUCCAACUAAAAAUUCUUUACUAUCUUGUAGAACAAUAUACUAAUGAAAAUAGUCAUGUAUGCCUAUCUUAAUGGUUGUCUCAUCUUCUGCUUUUAAAACUUGCAUCUAAGCUUUAUAUUGAUCUCUCAGGAGCUUGAGAUUCCUAUAAGAAUUACAACAACAACAACAACAACUACCCAGUAUAGAAUCCUAUAAGAAUUAAUGAUCAAGAAAUUCAUAUCUUUUGGUCCAUCAGGCCUUGUUUGGGAGAGUUUAUAUGUUUCUGCAAGUUGUUGCUUGGAUGUAGAAAGAACUUCUAAGUGUAGAAAACCUACUUAUUAGAUAUUGGAAAGAGACAAGUCUAAACGGAGCGAAAUGUAUAGUGAGAAUUCAUUAAGCCGACUCCAACUAACUUGGAAUUGAGGCUUAAUUAUUGUUGUUACUGCUUCAAGUAAGAGGAUUCUUGAUCUUCAGACCUCUAUUUCGUGCGAGGUAGCUCGUCUUGAUUCUCUGAUUUGUAUCACACCAUGUUUGUGUCAGGAAGCAUUAUACAGCAAUUUAGUCCUAGCAUCUUAUUGAUUUGCCCUUUCUUGUCUGUUCCAUACCUCCAAAAGGUGCACUGCCAGCACGACGAAUUUAAUGAAUGACCUAUAUGUAUGUGUAUCCUGAGGACAGGCUAAUUGUUAAGAGAAUAUUAUAUGAUCAGCGGUGUUAUGAGUGCACAACUACUGACCUUGUUAGACUUCGUAAAUUUCCAGUCAGCUCUUUAAGAAAAAGGGCGAAGGAAGGAAUCAUCAAAAAGCUGAUGUGGUAUGGCAAGAGAACAGAUUGUUGUGUCUUACUCCGAGGAGAUGUAGCUAUUUAUAUCACUCAAAAUAGCUGUCUGACUUGUUCUUUAGUAGCUGCCUAACAGAAUGAAUCAGUGGCAGGGUUGGGUGGGUCAAGAAAAAAGGCGAGGGGUGAAGUGGAGGUGGGGCGAGGUGCGAGGGCAGGGUGAUAGGGUUGUGGUUUGG
rnacentral:lncRNA from 1 species